GUUUGAUGAGAACAAGUCUAAUUUACUGAGUUUAAAUUUCUGCUUUAUGGUAAGCAUUCCCUCCAGACAUUUUCUAUACAUACCAUUAUUUUUAGAAUCACAGAUUUCCUGUCUAUCUAUAAAAGAGGCUUUGGAUGAUCUUGAAUUUUAAAGCAUCGGUUAAGGAUUUAACAUUCGGAGUAACUCGUUUCAAAAGUCGUAUUCUGAAUGCAGCAUGACUAACUAGCUAAGGAACUUCCCAACCCAGAAUUAUAAAGGAAGAAGUGGGGCUCUUUUCUUGGCAGUGUAAUAAAAGCUAAACUUGA